rnacentral:rRNA from 1 species
UACGGAGGGGGCGAGCGUUAUUCGGAAUUAUUGGGCGUAAAGGGCGCGUAGGCGGCUGUACAAGUCAAAGGUGAAAUCCCUCGGCUCAACUGAGGAACUGCCUUUGAAACUGUACGGCUUGAGGCCGGGAGGGGGUAGCGGAAUUCCCAGUGUAGCGGUGAAAUGCGUAGAUAUUGGGAGGAACACCGGUGGCGAAGGCGGCCCCCUGGACCGGUACUGACGCUGAGGCGCGAAAGCGUGGGUAGCAAACGGG